rnacentral:rRNA from 1 species
GUGCCAGCCGCCGCGGUAAAACGUAGGAGGCGAGCGUUAUCCGGAUUUACUGGGUGUAAAGCGCGUGCAGGCGGUGCUGUAAGUCGUAUGUGAAAGCGCUCAGGCUCAACCGGGCGAGGUCAUGCGAAACUGCGGUGCUGGAGGGAGGUAGAGGCGUGUGGAAUUCCGGGUGUAGUGGUGAAAUGCGUAGAGAUCCGGAGGAACACCAGUGGCGAAGGCGACACGCUGGGCCUUACCUGACGCUAAGACGCGAAAGCAUGGGGAGCGAACGGGAUUAGAUACCCCCGUAGUCC